CCUACGGGAGGCAGCAGUAAGGAAUAUUGGACAAUGGACGCAAGUCUGAUCCAGCCAUGCCGCGUGAAGGAUUAAGGUCCUCUGGAUUGUAAACUUCUUUUAUAAGGGACGAAAAAAGGUCUUUCUAGAUCGUCUGACGGUACCUUAUGAAUAAGCACCGGCUAACUCCGUGCCAGCAGCCGCGGUAAUACGGAGGGUGCAAGCGUUAUCCGGAUUCACUGGGUUUAAAGGGUGCGUAGGCGGGCAGGUAAGUCAGUGGUGAAAUCCUAGAGCUUAACUCUAGAACUGCCAUUGAUACUAUCUGUCUUGAAUAUUGUGGAGGUAAGCGGAAUAUGUCAUGUAGCGGUGAAAUGCUUAGAUAUGACAUAGAACACCUAUUGCGAAGGCAGCUUACUACGCAUAUAUUGACGCUGAGGCACGAAAGCGUGGGGAUCAAACAGGAUUAGAUACCCUGGUAGUCCACGCCCUAAACGAUGGAUACUCGACAUGCGCGAUACACUGUGUGUGUCUGAGCGAAAGCAUUAAGUAUCCCACCUGGGGAGUACGACCGCAAGGUUGAAACUCAAAUGAAUUGACGG
rnacentral:rRNA from 1 species